GUCACCUGCUCCCUUUUUUUUUUAAAGACCAAACUUUACUUCUCAAGCCUCUUUUUCCAUCCUCUGUCGUACUAACUUCCACUUUUUUUAGCGUGCCGACACUUACGAACAGUUGGAUAUAUUGACACGGAUGACUAAAAAAGGAACGAAGAGUGGCGGAUUCUAAUAAGGGCUGACAAAAAUGGGGAUAUGCGAGAAAACUUGCAAAAAUCCAAAAUCGUGGAUGUGUACUUUCAAGAUAAAUUAAAUAAAUAAGAUCGUUUGUGCAAAAUUAAAGCGGAAUUUUCUCCUGCAACAUGGAUUUACAAUUUGCGACGUACUGAGAUAUGAUUUGUGGAUAGAAAAACUGACGUGGAGGUUAUAUCUUCUUAGUUUGAUGAGAAAAAAUCGGGAGAAAAACACUAGUCCAUGCCAAAAGGAUUUAGAAGUCUCAAAAAAACCGAACAGAGAGUAGAGAGGAAGUUCCGUUAAUAACGAAAGGAUCUACAUUUACUUCUACACGAUGAAUUUACGAUUAUUUCGCAAUAGUCUCCGUUGAGCCUUGUCUCCGUUUUCCUUUUUUUUUCAUUGAAUUCUUUUACACCGAAAAGAGACCGUAGAAGAUGUAUGGAAUAAAGGGUGGUAGAAAUAUUCAUAAGGCAUACGCAACAAGAGAAGAAUUCAGUCGUAAGUUUCACACCGAAUCAGGUCUUUGACAGUGGACGCUUUCCAUCACUCGCCUUGUGAUUUCUAUUUUUAUUCCUUUUUUUCCACAAACUUUUGAAAGAAACAUGCUGAUAUAGUAAAUCUUUAUCGGAGCCGAAAUAUUAGACGCUAGAGAGAAGCAUUUUUUGUUCUUCAGACGUUAACAAUCUAUAAGCAAUCUUUAAAAAUCAAAAUUAAUAUAUUUCGAUCGAGAUGUGCGAAGACGUUUGUCAGAAAUAUAAGUAUAUAUAGAUGUAAAAAAGACAUGUUUGUCAAAAAUAGU